AUGGCGGGCGUGGGUCGUAACAUGGUGGCGCCGCUGCUGGUGCUGAACCUCAUCAUGUACAUCAUCGUCAUCGGCUUCGCCAGCUGGAACCUCAACCACUUCAUCAACGGCCUCACCAACCGCCCCGGCGUCGGCGGCAACGGCGCCACCUUCUACUUCCUCCUCUUCGCCAUCCUAGCCGGGGUCGUCGGCGCCGCAUCCAAGCUCGCCGGCGUGCACCACGUCCGCACCUGGCGCGGGGACAGCCUGGCCACCUCCGCCUCGUCGGCGCUGGUGGCCUGGGCCAUCACGGCGCUGGCCUUUGGCUUGGCGUGCAAGGAGAUCCAUAUCGGCGGGUACCGCGGGUGGCGCCUCCGGGUGCUCGAGGCGUUCGUCAUCAUCCUGGCCUUCACGCAGCUGCUCUACGUGCUCGCGCUGCACUCUGGCCUCUUUGGGAACCAGUUCGGUAACCAUGCCGGUGGUGGGUAUCCGGCGGAGCAUGCCUACGGCGCCGGCGUCGGCGACCCGCAUAACAAGGGCUUGGGCACCGGCGGCGUGGCCAGGGUGUGA
rnacentral:rRNA from 1 species